rnacentral:rRNA from 1 species
GGACGAACGCUGGCGGCGUGCUUAACACAUGCAAGUCGAACGGAAAGGCCUGCUUUCCCUUGUGGAUUGCGGGUACUCGAGUGGCGAACGGGUGAGUAACACGUGAGUGAUCUGCCCCCAACUUGGGUAUAAGCCUGGGAAACUGGGUCUAAUUCCCGAUAGGACUGCAGGGUGGUGCCUGUGGUGGAAAACGAUUUUCUAGUGGUUGGGGAUGAGCUCGCGGCCUAUCAGCUUGUUGGUGGGGUAAUGGCCUACCAAGGCGGCGACGGGUAGCCGGCCUGAGAGGGUGGACGGCCACAUUGGGACUGAGAUACGGCCCAGACUCCUACGGGAGGCAGCAGUGGGGAAUAUUACACAAUGGGCGGAAGCCUGAUGCAGCGACGCCGCGUGGGGGAUGACGGCCUUCGGGUUGUAAACUCCUUUCGACCGCGAGGAAGCCACCUGGUUGGAAGGGUGGUGACGGUAGUGGUAGAAGAAGCACCGGCUAACUACGUG